UUAUUCAACUACGAGAACUUA
rnacentral:tRNA from 1 species